rnacentral:rRNA from 1 species
AUAGCAUAUAGUAGCGAGAUAGACUAAUAGGAUUCCCUCAGUAUGGCGAAUGAACAGGGAUCAGCUCAGCAUGGAAAUCGGGGCCUGUGGCCUUGAAUUGUAGUCUCGAGUUGUACUGCCAACGGAGGCGCAGAUGUAAGCCUCUUGGAAAAGAGCAUCAACGAGGGUGAGAGUCCCGUUUGUCAUCUGCAGUCCCCCGUGCACGGUGUACUUCUAAAGAGUCACGUUCCUCGGGAUUGGAGCGCAAAGUGGGUGGUAAAUUUCAUCUAAAGCUAAAUAUAGGUUCGAGACCGAUAGCAAACAAGUACCAUGAGGGAAAGGUGAAAAGGACUUUGAAAAGAGAGUUAAAAGUGCCUGAAAUUGCUGAAAGGGAAGCGAAUGGAACCAGUGUUUCUUGGCAAGAUUGGUGCGUGCUAAUUGGAUUGCCUGCUGCUUCAGCGCAAGCGUGGUAGUAGGUUUUGAAGAGGAUGUGCGUGUUGUUUCUUGCCUUGUGUGUCAACGUCAGUUCUCAAUCGAGGAAAACGCCAGGGACAUGGUAGUUUGCCCCCGGGCGAGCGAAUGUGCUUGGUUGAACUCAUUUGUGAACUGUUAUUGCGUGUCUGGUUGCAGUGCUCUGUGUCCACACGCCUCCGCGGUGGGCUUGCUCCUCUGCGGGUGGUGUGGGUGACCGGGGUAUCUCCCUGACACAACGACGAUGACUAAAUGGUUCUAUUCGAC